UAAUACGUAGGGGGCGAGCGUUGUCCGGAUUUAUUGGGCGUAAAGCGCGUGUAGGCGGCUUGGGAGGUCUCGCGUCAAAAGCUGCGGCUCAACCGCAGUUCGCGCGGGAAACCCCCUCGCUAGAGUUCGGAAGAGGAGAGCGGAAUUCCCGGUGUAGCGGUGAAAUGCGCAGAUAUCGGGAAGAACACCAGUGGCGAAGGCGGCUCUCUGGGACGUAACUGACGCUGAGACGCGAAAGCGUGGGGAGCGAACAGGAUUAGAUACCCUGGUAGUCCACGCCGUAAACGAUGGGCGCUAGGUGUGGGGGGUGUCGACUCCCUCCGUGCCGAAGCUAACGCAUUAAGCGCCCCGCCUGGGGAGUACGGCCGCAAGGCUA
rnacentral:rRNA from 1 species